UCUCUCACCUCAAUAUCACAUGCAUUAAGUUGGUAGAAUACAGAAAUUAGCAUAGCCAUUGUGCAAGGAUGGCAUGUAAAAUCUUGAAACAUUCUAUACUAUU
rnacentral:snRNA from 1 species